CAAGAAUCUUUGUGCUUCAAUCUUUGAAAGUUAAAACAGUAAUAAUAGCUUCAGUGGCCAACAGCUCUUUGUCUGUACACUGCUGGUUUCAUAAGGAUUCUCUUUUAAAGAAGUGAAGAAACAAAGAAAGAAAACAAAAUCAAAAGAGCUUAAUCAAGAAAGAUAUGUUUGGCAAUUGUGACCAGAAGAAGAAGAUGCCUAGCAUCAGCUCUCCCAAUACCAUUCCACUGGCGAGUAUGCAGAGCAAGAACAUGAUUGUGGCUCCGUCUCAUAAGCAGCAGCAACAACAGCAAGCGCAUCAACCGCAACCACAACUUAAAUGCCCUCGUUGUGAUUCUUCUAACACAAAGUUCUGUUACUACAACAACUACAGCCUCUCUCAGCCGCGGCACUUUUGCAAGGCUUGCAAGAGGUAUUGGACACGAGGUGGGACCCUCCGUAACGUUCCCGUAGGCGGUAGCUACCGGAAAAAUAAACGUGUGAAGCGGCCAGCAACCGCUGCCUCCACGGUCUCGAAGACUACUUCUUCAUCCCCUAAUCAUCAGAUCUCCCAUUUCUCUUCCAUGAAUCAUCAUCCCAUGCUCUAUGGUUUAUCAGAUCAUGUGAACAGUUGUAAUAGUCUUCCAAUGAUUCCAAGCCGGUUCAAUGAUUCUUCAAAGACUUCAUCAAGUGGUUUAGAGAGUGAGUUUUUCUCAUCUGGUUUUAGUGGCCUAGGUGCUCUUGGUCUAGGGUUUCCACAUCAUAUGAGUCAUGACCACACCGCCAUUAACGGUGGCUUCAUCGACAACUCUACCGCAAACAAACCCUUUCUUCUCUCGGGGCUAUUUGGGUCCUCGGUAUCUUCAUCUUCCUCUAAUCUUGUCCAGCAUCCACACAAACCCAUGAACAAUGGUGGUGAGAUGAUGGGACAAUCCCAUCUCCAAACCCUAGCAUCCCUUCAAGAUCUGCAUGUUGGAGGUAACAAUGAAGAUGUGAACAAAGAAGGGAAGCUUGGUCAGAUCUCAGGGACCAUUAGUGGAUUCAUGUCACCAUCCUCUUUAGAUCCUUCAAACUACAACAACAUAUGGAAUAAUGCGAGUGUUGUCAAUGGAGAAUGGCUUGAUUCGACAAAUAAUAACGUUGGAUCCUCCCUUACCUCCUUGAUAUAAACCAAAAUUAACUUAUUGCUUAUAGAAUCUAUUACUAGCUGGGGUUUCAUCUUCAUCACUUUUUUUUCUUUGCGUUUUGAGAUGAGAGAAGAAGCUUGGAUCAGAGAGAUAAAAUCAGGGGAAAUGUUGAUGUUAGCUUCUAUAAACUCCCUCGGAUCCUCUUCAUCUCAACAUCUUCAUCCCGCGUUGUUCAAGAAAAACAAAAGAGCGCUCAAGAUUGGUUGAAGGUUAACUAUGUUCGACUGUUAUGUUCACUCGAGUUUUGGUCCAGGGCUUGGAGUUUAUUGAUGCGUCAUUAUAAAGUGGGCACGAGUUCGUUACCAGCUUCUGCAUGUCAUUUUCUCUGCAAUGAUUCUUUUCGUGCAAGUAUUGGAGAUAGAUUUAUUCGUUAAAGAUUUGGGUCGGCAGACUCGGUACCGUGUGGACCAAGAACUUUAUUACCUUUGUGUGGAUAAUUUAUGGAUCAAAAUCAAUUAUCAAACGAAAGAAUGUUAUUAACACGUAUACUGUCGUCUGACAUUCUAGCUUAUGGACACAUCAGACGAGAACUUGACCUGAUUAUUUUCA